GCGGCUGUAGUCUAGUGGUUAGGACGGAAGCUUCCCAAGCUUCUAACUCGGGUUCGAAUCCCGGCAGCCGCA
rnacentral:tRNA from 1 species